rnacentral:rRNA from 1 species
AUGGCUCAGGAUGAACGCUAGCGGCAGGCUUAACACAUGCAAGUCGAGGGGCAACGCGAGUAGCAAUACUUGGCGGCGACCGGCGCAAGGGUGCGUAACGCGUGAGCAACAUGCCCGUAUCAGGGGGAUAAUCCAGGGAAACUUGGUCUAAUACCCCAUAGUAAUUUUGUAAGGCAUCUUAUAAGAUUUAAAGCUUUGGUGGAUACGGAUUGGCUCGCGUGACAUUAGCUGGAUGGUAAGGUAACGGCUUACCAUGGCUAUGAUGUCUAGGGGUUCUGAGAGGAAGGUCCCCCACACUGGAACUGAGACACGGUCCAGACUCCUACGGGAGGCAGCAGUGAGGAAUAUUGGACAAUGGAUGGAAAUCUGAUCCAGCCAUGCCGCGUGAAGGAAAAGAAGGUCCUAUGGAUUGUAAACUUCUUUUGUAUGGGAGCAAUAAGGCCUACGAGUAGGUUGAUGAGAGUACCAUACGAAUAAGCACCGGCUAACUCCGUGCCAGCAGCCGC